UACGUAGGGGGCCAGCGUUGUCCGGAAUCAUUGGGCGUAAAGAGCGCGUAGGCGGUCCGGUAAGUCCGCUCUGAAAGUCCGGGGCUCAACCCCGGGAGGCGGGCGGAUACUGUCGGGCUAGAGUCCGGAAGAGGCGAGUGGAAUUCCUGGUGUAGCGGUGAAAUGCGCAGAUAUCAGGAGGAACACCAAUGGCGAAGGCAGCUCGCUGGGACGGUACUGACGCUGAGGCGCGAAAGCGUGGGGAGCAAACAGG
rnacentral:rRNA from 1 species